UACGGGGGGGCAAGCGUUGUUCGGAAUUACUGGGCGUAAAGGGUUCGUAGGUGGCCAACUUAGUCAGACGUGAAAUCCCUCAGCUUAACUGGGGAACUGCGUCUGAUACUGGAUGGCUUGAGUUUGGGAGAGGGAUGCGGAAUUCCAGGUGUAGCGGUGAAAUGCGUAGAUAUCUGGAGGAACACCGGUGGCGAAGGCGGCAUCCUGGACCAAUACUGACACUGAGGAGCGAAAGCCAGGGGAGCAAACGGG
rnacentral:rRNA from 1 species